rnacentral:pre_miRNA from 1 species
GAUUUCAUCUGAAAAAGUCAUCAAUAACAAAGUUGUAUAACUCAUCAAGAUCUAUAACUUUUAUUUUGGUCAUUUCUUCAUUCGACAAAGUGAUUUGUAAAAUUGUUCACAGAAAUGCACAUAUCUCUUAUAUAGUUUAUAAAACUACAAGAGAGAUACAUUUUAUUAACAAUCUUAUAAAUAACCUUGUCGGAUGAAGAAAUGACUAAAAUAGAAGUUAUAGAUCUUGAUGAGUUAUACCACUUUGUUGGUGAUGACUUUUUCAGUUGAAAUC